rnacentral:rRNA from 1 species
GGGAAGUAAAAAGUCGUAACAAGGUUUCCGUAGGUGAACCUGCGGAAGGAUCAUUACCGAGUGUAGGGUUCCUAGCGAGCCCAACCUCCCACCCGUGUUUACUGUACCUUAGUUGCUUCGGCGGGCCCGCCAUUCAUGGCCGCCGGGGGCUCUCAGCCCCGGGCCCGCGCCCGCCGGAGACACCACGAACUCUGUCUGAUCUAGUGAAGUCUGAGUUGAUUGUAUCGCAAUCAGUUAAAACUUUCAACAAUGGAUCUCUUGGUUCCGGCAUCGAUGAAGAACGCAGCGAAAUGCGAUAACUAGUGUGAAUUGCAGAAUUCCGUGAAUCAUCGAGUCUUUGAACGCACAUUGCGCCCCCUGGUAUUCCGGGGGGCAUGCCUGUCCGAGCGUCAUUGCUGCCCAUCAAGCACGGCUUGUGUGUUGGGUCGUCGUCCCCUCUCCGGGGGGGACGGGCCCCAAAGGCAGCGGCGGCACCGCGUCCGAUCCUCGAGCGUAUGGGGCUUUGUCACCCGCUCUGUAGGCCCGGCCGGCGCUUGCCGAACGCAAAUCAAUCUUUCCAGGUGACCUCGGAUCAGGUAGGAGCCCA